AACGAACUUAUCUUUUAAGUACUGGUCGUUUCGACAAUGCCGUGGCUUCCAAGAGAUUGCUCUGCUGAAGGAAAGCAAGGCUUGCCCAUACAUGAGCCAUCCAACACCAGAAACCAAAGUGAUUCGACCUCAGAAGGUGAACAUGUAACAAGCCAAUUAGCUGCAACAUCAAUUGCCACGUUGGAGCAAGGAGAAAGCUCAAAGGGAAGAAAGCGCUCCUAUGAUUCUGCACGCUAUGCUAGCCUUACACCAGAGCAAAGGAAAGCCAGG